AUUUGCGGCUUUGUUCCGAAUACCGUUGUGUAGCUGGAUGUGUGAGGCUGGACUCCCCCAGCUCCGGCACAAGCGGCUGGCCGCGGCGUGGGAGUUUCCGCCGCCCGGGCUCUCAUUCCAUCUUUCUCCCUGCUCCCAUGUACCCGGCCGUGAGCAGCCGCCCCUCUCGCCGCCUUCCCCGGAGGCAUCCGCAGGUCGGAGGAGGGUUUCGGGCGGAGGUGAAGAAGAUUUUUUCUUCCAAAAUGACUUUACGAGUUCUGGUUUUGUGUUUGGCAUAUUCUGGGCUUGGAAAGGCAGAUGUGGUUCCACAGGCUGGACACACAGAAGUGAGGAUGGGUGACAAUGCAACUCUGAGCUGUGCCCUGACAAAAUCCAUGGAUGUUUUGCAAGUGACGUGGCAAAAGGACUCAGAAGGAUCAAAUGAUAAUAUAGCUACAUACAGUAAAGCAAACGGACUAAAGAUUCACGAGCCCUAUAAAGGCAGAAUGAAUUUCACAAGUUUGGAACUCAACAAGACAAGCAUAACUUUUUGGGACACUAGAAUGGAUGAUUCAGGACAUUACAAGUGUCUCUUCAAUGUUUUCCCUGUGGGCUCCUUGUCAGGAAAUAUCCAGCUGAGUGUUUUUGGUCUCAAUGCGUCUGUCCAUCACAACAUUUCUGAAGAUCAUUUGAUAGUCACCUGUAAUGCUCAUGGCUUCCCAGAGCCCACCAUCACCUGGAACAACCUGUUCAAUUCUACUCCCACACAGAAGACAGUCAAGCACAAAAAUGGGAUUGUGUCCAUCACCAGUAAACUGGAAAUCUACAACAUUCAGAGCAUCAGUGCACGGGAUUUGACCUGCACAGUAAGCAACACAAAUGAAGCAGUUGAAUUGCCUGUGAAAAUAAAAGGAGAAGAGGGAUCAUCUCUGCUUUGGUUGGUGAUUAUUGUAGUGCUUCUAGUAGUCAUCACAGUUCUGAUUAUGCUCUUCUGGAGGAAGAUCCUAUGCAGGAGGAGUUGAAGUGCUAAAGGCUCAGAGCUUGAAGUCCCUCAGUGUCUGCAAGAGAAGUGGGCUCUCAUGUCCUGCUGCCUGGGAAGACAUCAAGAUUCCUGGCCUCACAUGUGUGCCAACAUGUCACAAGGGCUUUGUAUAUAACCAGAAAAUAAAGUUCAGGCUGGCAGCUGAAAGGGAGAACAAAUAGCAUUCCUAUAAUAUGUGAAUAGUUGCCUCGCUGUUUCAGUUUCUCAUUCACUUCCUUGGACCCUUGAGGAUUUCCAUCCAUCUACCACGUCAUUGGAAGCCAGCAGCCUGAAGUCAACAUUACACAUAGUGACACAAACAUAGUGACUUGACUGGCUGGAAAGAAACAGCAAAAAAAGGAGAAGACAUCAUAUACACUGUCCUGUCUGGAAGCUGAGAUGAUCACUGAAAUGACUAACACAACAUUUGUUGUCUGGUCUAGGCCCUUAAAAUAUAGGACUGGAGGGACCACUUGGUCUGCUGCUCUGCAGAGGAGGAGAUUUUGUCAGGCAAAACCUUCUUUGCCAUGCCACUCUUGAUCCUGCUGCUGGGCAAAAUAUAUUUGUCUUCUUCCAGCUGAGUUUUGAAAAUGUCCAUGGAUAGAAGCUCUGCAGACUCUCUUCCAGUGCCAAAUUGUUCUUGCAGUAGACAGGGAUUUAAUUUUUGCCAACAUCCGUCUGCAAUUCCACUUGCAGCAACUCUGAGAGUUCAUCACUCUCUUCUGUCAUCUGGUUUUUCUUCUCUUAUCCAGCUGUUCCAACUCCUUUUUCUCUGUCUGGAAAGACCUGCUGGACUCAAAAUCACAGGACUCAAACCACACAGGAUUUGCCAAAAUUAUUGGGGAAGAGCAAUAGGUCUCCAAGCAGGUGACUACAUAAAGGCAGUAACAGCCACAGUUUGGAAGGAAGAAUUGUAAGUAAUUUGUAUAAUAUAUAAGUAAUUGACUUUAUUUGACUUCUUUCUAAUCCUGGAAUGUUUUCUUCUGUGUUUUCUGGGGUUUUUUAGGGAUGUGUGUGGUGGGGUUCAAUAUAUGAGUCAGGAGGAAACGGUAACAAAGGCCAGUAGUGGGAACAUUGCCUUCUCCAUCUUUCCUUUCUCUUAAAACCCUGUCCUACUCCUUGCUGAGCUGUCAAAAGGCAUGGAUUUUGUCAAGAGUUUUUGUGCUCAUCUUAUGGACUGUUCAGAGUAGUCUUUCCCGUGUUCAUCCAUUUUAAUUCUGUCUUUUUAAACACAGAUAAAUUGCUUAGCUGGCCAAAAGCCAUUAUUUCAUGGCUGGACCUCACUGGGUGGGAUGUCCCAGGCUGAGCUCAGUAUCCUGUUUCACUGCAAUGAUAUCAGUUGGCAGUCUUACAGAGACUGAGUUUCCUGAUUUGUCAUACUUUUGAUAGCAGAUAAAGACUCUGCACUAUUCUUAGGAGCUGGGACCUAAUUCUGCUUCUGUCCCACCAUCCCAAGCUGUUCAUCACUGCCAGCCCAAGCCUACUUCCAGUCUUCCCACAAGUUCCAGGUGCUUUAUCCCCUCUUGCUGGGCAGCAGGCUGCUCAGGAGGACCAUGAACUCCUGGGCAUUGCUCUGCAGCUCCUCAUCUUGUGAAGGGGAUGAAGGCUCCAGGUGCCCUCUGCUUCUGGGCUUUUUUUGGUUGGGACAGGGUUUAUUUCCUUAAUAGAAGUACAAGGCUGCCAUUCUGACUCUCCCCUUCCCUCCUGGGGGAGUGCAGCUGUGUGGUGGAAUCUUCCUUCUGUCUGAGUAUUUGUCAUUGUAUCAGGAUCACUCACAGAAUUCUCUUUUAUUUUGGCUUUGAUGAGCAUCUGUGCAUCUGAAACACUCCAUCUUACCAGAGUGCACAGCAAUUUGGAUUGUGCCUUUUAUGUCAUUUGUUUACUAAGGGUACAAACUGUCAAGCUGAAAAAUCAACAAUGGAGAUUUAAAACUUAGGACUGACUCAGUGUUCAGAACAAAUAUUUUGCUGGUUCUAGAGCAGUGGCCUCUCCAGAGUCUGGUAAAAUGUUUUGUGUGUCUGUCUACUUGUGUUACUGGGAUGUGAGGGGUGAUGUUUGCUCCACUGCUGUAGGCACAAUAUGAAUUAUUUAUUUGUACCUUUCACUUUUUCUAAUUAAAAAAAAAAAAAUCUGAUCCAACCAAAACACCAUCUGGUCCCUUUUUUCUUUUUUAAUUUUUUUUGGAGGGGGCCAGGCUUUUUAGUUGUUUUGAUUUAUACUUUGCUUCCUUUCUGAAAAGAAAAUGGGAAUUCAUGGGCCUUUUAAGGUGUUUUGGGUUAUUUUUUCUUUUUAAAAGAAGUUAAUUUUUAUUUUAAAUGUUUUGUUCAAAACUUUUGAAAUAAAUUUACAGAAAUAUUUUUGACCACAGCCGCUGCAGUUUAUUUCAGAUUCGAAGAUAACCUCAGUCAAUCAAAACAGUGUAUUCUAUAUUUUUACAAUUAUUGUCCGUGUCAUGUUUGUUCCUUAAUUAUUUUUAUCUAAAGUUACAUGCUCUAUUGAUACUGAUUGUCUGUCUUGUUUUCUGUAUUACCUGGAUGAAAAGAAGCCAAAUAAAGCAAAUAUGAACAUCA